GUGCUCUGAUUUGCUUAUUGCACCACAUGUGUUUUUCUUUGAAACAAACUUGCUUUGGCGGUGGGCCCAGCCUGCCGCCAGAGGUCUAAACUUACAACCAAUUUUUUAUCAACUUGUCACACCAGAUUAUUACUAAUAGUCAAAACUUUCAACAACGGAUCUCUUGGUUCUCGCAUCGAUGAAGAACGCAGCGAAAUGCGAUACGUAAUAUGAAUUGCAGAUAUUCGUGAAUCAUCGAAUCUUUGAACGCACAUUGCGCCCUCUGGUAUUCCGGAGGGCAUGCCUGUUUGAGCGUCGUUUCUCCCUCAAACCGCUGGGUUUGGUGUUGAGCAAUACGACUUGGGUUUGCUUGAAAGACGGUAGUGGUAAGGCGGGAUCGCUUUGACAAUGGCUUAGGUCUAACCAAAAACAUUGCUUGCGGCGGUAACGUCUACCACGUAUAUCUUCAAACUUUGACCUCAAAUCAGGUAGGACUACCCGCUGAACUUAAGCAUAUCAAUAAGCGGGAGGAAA
rnacentral:rRNA from 1 species